CUCACAUUUCACAAGAAAAAGAGCUAGACUCCGGGGUGAAGGGGAGCCCAGAAACUGAAAGAUGGACUGUCCCUCAGAGACCUGAGUCCUGGCUGCGUUCCCUCCUGAUUUAAUAACUGUGUUGACCUUGGGCAAGUCACUUUUGUGGUACUGUAAACGUUUCUGAAUUAGUCACAGUACUGCGUUUCUUUACCGAGCCUGCCUCUCUUCCAUUCUAAAUAACCCUGAGAGAUGCUUUCUCUUUCAGAAGCAGUUUCACUUUGAAGGGCGAUGGGGACUGCAAUGACACCUCCAGUUCGUUUUCCCGUGCACAGAGAGCAGAAGCCAAGCCUGACCUCCACGCCCAAGGACCAGAUCAUCAGCCUAAGGAAGAAGACAGUGUCGCAUAAUAGAGUCCUUCUACCAAACCUCAGCAACCCAGUUAAGAGGGAUGGCCAAUUUCAGCUGAAAACAGUUCUCUGUCUCUGUCUCUAUCUCUCUGUCUCUCUCUCUCUCUCUCUCUCUCUCUCUCUCUCUCUGUCCAUCUCUCUCAAAACAGGGUCUCUCUGUGUAGUUCAGGCUGGCCUUGAUGUCACUAUUUUGGGAGGAGGAGUUGAACUCAGAACCUCAAACUUGCCAGGCAGGAGCUGCACCACUGAGCUAAACCCUCAGUCCCUCAAAUUCACUGUGUAGCCCAGGCUGACCUCGAACUAACAAUGGUCCUCCUGCCUCAGCCUCUGAAGUGCUGGAAUUAAAGAUGUGCUCCACCAUGCCCUUCUCUCCAUUUUCAAAUUUAGACAGUAAGCAGACUAAUCAAGGGACUGGCCCAAAGGAAACCUUGGUUUGCUGAGCACUGGAGAUAAGAACAACCCAUUGGUUAUUUGAAUUGUGUGGCUUCUCACGUAAUGUGAUUGGUAGGCUCUUCAAACACACUUCUUUUUGAUGUGCUUUGUGGGGGCAGGGCAUUAGUUUGUUGUCCUAUGAAGAUUAAAUGUUCCAGAGCAAUUUUGUUCCUGCUGUGAAUUAAUAAAGAAAAUAAUUUUCCAGUACAGAGUUCAAAGGCUAAAUUCUAGCUCAGCACUCUUUGGACAGUAGGUUCUAGUUAGCGACCCUGCACUGUGCUGUCUGUCUGUUCUCCAAAGCACUUGUCUUUGCUUGAAAACUAACCCAGAUCCUUCAAUUCUUUAUUUGGACUGAAAGAUUUGACUCAACAACAACAAAAACAAAACAGAAAUGAAAACCAAAACAUGUGCAAGAAUGGACUCGGGAGCAGUUUAUGAAUGGUCUACUGGGUAAGGACGAAGUAGGGAGAUGAGAGACAGACAGACAGAGAGACAGAGACAGAGAAACAGAGACAGAGAGGGAGACAGGGCCAGAGAAACAGAGACAGAGAGACACAGAAAGAGAGACAGAAAUAGAGAGAGAGACAGACAGGGAGACAGAGACAGAGAGAGACGGAGACAGAGGCAGAGAGACAGCAAGAGAGAGAGACACACACACGCAGAAAGAGACAGAGACAGACAGAGAGAGAGAGAGAGUUCAUAGUUGUUUUCCACCCCCCAAGACUUUUGCAGUCCCUUGAGAGAAAGAUGAGAAGCAUAAAAAGAAAUUAAAAGGGGAUGGUAAAACCCAUAAACUCCCAUGAAAGUAUAGAUUAA
rnacentral:lncRNA from 1 species